rnacentral:misc_RNA from 1 species
GAUGAAGAACGUAGCGAAAUGCGAUACGUAAUGUGAAUUGCAGAAUUCAGUGAAUCAUCGAAUCUUUGAACGCAUAUUGCGCUCUCUGGUAUUCCGGAGAGCAUGCUUGUUUGAGUAUCAGUAAACACCUCAACUUCCAUAUCUUUUUUGAAAUGGGAGUUGGACUUGAGUGAUCCCAACGCUUUUCCUCACCGAAAAGUGGCGGGUUACUUGAAAUGCAGGUGCAGCUGGACUUUUCUCUGGGCUAUAAGCAUAUCUAUUUAGUCUGCCUAAAAAACAGAUUAUUACCUUUGCUGCAGCUAACAUAAAGGAGAUUAGUUCUUGUGCUGACUGAUGCAGGAUUCACAAAGACGGCUUCGGCCGACUUUGUAAACUCGAUCUCAAAUCAAGUAAGACUACCCGCUGAACUUAAGCAUAUCAAUAAGCGGAGGA